GAUGAAGAACGUAGCGAAAUGCGAUAAGUAGUGUGAAUUGCAGAAUUCAGUGAAUCAUCGAAUCUUUGAACGCACAUUGCGCCCCUUGGUACUCCAUGGGGCAUGCCUGUUCGAGCGUCAUUUACACCCUCAAGCUCAGCUUGGUGUUGGGCGUCUGUCCCGCUUCGUGCGCGGACUCGCCUCAAAUGCAUUGGCAGCGGUCUUGCCAGCUUCUCGCGCAGCACAUUGUGCUUCUAGAGGCUUUGGCGGAUCGGCGUCCAUCAAGUACACCCACAGUUUGACCUCGGAUCAGGUAGGGAUACCCGCUGAACUUAAGCAUAUCAAUAAGCGGAGGA
rnacentral:misc_RNA from 1 species